AGGGGCGUAGCUCUAACUGGCAGAGCGCUGGUCUCCAAAACCAGAUGUUGGGGGUUCGAAUCCCUCCGCCCCUGCCA
rnacentral:tRNA from 1 species